UCCCUGGUAGCUCAGUGGUAAAGAAUCUGCCUGCAAUGCAGCAGACACAGGUUCAAUCCCUGGGUUGGGAA
rnacentral:tRNA from 1 species